AACCUAUGAUGAGGGCACCUUCUUAAAAGAUCCUUCAAUCUCUCCCAUGCAUCAUACAGUGUUUUCAGCUCAAUUUGGGAAAACAGAGAGAUGUCGUUCCUCAACUU
rfam:Gossypium arboreum cultivar AKA8401 contig_27495_1, whole genome shotgun sequence.